ACUCCUACGGGAGGCAGCAGUGGGGAAUAUUGCACAAUGGGCGCAAGCCUGAUGCAGCCAUGCCGCGUGUGUGAAGAAGGCCUUCGGGUUGUAAAGCACUUUCAGUCGUGAGGAAGGUGUGUGUUAAUUAAGCUGCAUUAUUUGACGUUAGCGACAGAAGAAGCACCGGCUAACUCCGUGCCAGCAGCCGCGGUAAUACGGAGGGUGCGAGCGUUAAUCGGAAUUACUGGGCGUAAAGCGCAUGCAGGUGGUUUGUUAAGUCAGAUGUGAAAGCCCGGGGCUCAACCUCGGAAUUGCAUUUGAAACUGGCAGACUAGAGUACUGUAGAGGGGGGUAGAAUUUCAGGUGUAGCGGUGAAAUGCGUAGAGAUCUGAAGGAAUACCGGUGGCGAAGGCGGCCCCCUGGACAGAUACUGACACUCAGAUGCGAAAGCGUGGGGAGCAAACAGGAUUAGAUACCCUGGUAGCUACGAGU
rnacentral:rRNA from 1 species